CCGGGGAGAAUGAUGGACGUUACCCGGAGAAGAAGCACCGGCUAACUCCGUCGCCAGGCAGCCGCAGGUAAGAGCGGAGGGCUGCAAAGCGCUUGUUCGGAAUCACUGGGCGUAAAGGGCGUCGUAGUCUGGCUUGGUUAGUCAGAUGUGAAAGCCCAGGGCUCAACUCUGGAACUGCAUUUGAUACUCCCAAGCUAGAGGUCGCAAUAGUAGGAGAGUGGAAUACCCAGUGUAGUAGGUGAAAUUCGUAGUAUAUUGGGUGGAACACCUGUGGUCGAAAGCCGGCUCCUCUGGUUCGAUUCUGACGCUGAGGCGCGAAAGCCGUGGGGUAGCAAACAGGUAGUUAGAUCACCACUGGUAGUCCACGCCCUAAGACGAUGUGUGCUAGGCGUCGGGGGGUCUUGCCCUUCGGUGCCGGAGCUAACGUGUUAAGCAGCACCGCUCUGGGGAGUACGGUCGCAUAUGAUUAAAACUCAAAUGAUACUUGACGG
rnacentral:rRNA from 1 species